rnacentral:lncRNA from 1 species
GGGAAUUAUUAGUUUCUAUGAUACUAUCAUAGUUCUAUUUUGGUUUGGAGUGUAUAUAAAGAAAAUAUUUUGAUUUAGACUCAAUUUAUUUUUUCAUCUAUAGGGACUUAAUUUAGGCUUAUUUUGUCGAUGGUUUCUAGAAAUAAAAUGGAAAAAAAAAUUAAGAAAGGAAGGGUGAUAGAGAAAGGUAUCUAGAAAGCAUAAAACAGGGAAGGGUGAAAAGAGGGAUAAGAUUUUUUUUAUAUUUUUUUUUAGUUAAUCUAGUGGUUAGAAUUCUCUUUUUUUAAGAAGGAUAAAUGGGUGUCUGGGAUUCGAAUCCUAGCAUCUGCAUAUAACGAUGCAUGUCGCUGCCAACUGAAUUAUGCUCACGGAGAAUCAGGGAUAAGAUUUUUUAAUUCAAUGUAAGAAUGGUCCAUGUUAUAUUUUGUUUACAUAAUAAUUCCAACGGGGCAGAUAUACCCGUGGCUAUGUUGUUUUGUUGUUUUAAGCAUUGCUACGUAAGAAAAGUGGCCCACUUAUACGUACUAGAAACCUUUUGUAACAAAUACAACACUUAAGACAAAAAAUCAUACAAACACUAACAAUAUGGCAGAUUUGUUUUUGUUAUUAUUCAUUAUGCUAACGAACAAUUUGUAAUCUUAUAUUGAAA